UACCAGCACCCCCGAGUGGUCGGGACGAUUAUUGGGCCUAAAGCAUCCGUAGCCGGUACUGCAAGUCUUCCGUUAAAUCCACCUGCUUAACAGUUGGGCUGCGGGGGAUACUACAGCGCUAGGAGGCGGGAGAGGCAAGCGGUACUCAAUGGGUAGGGGUAAAAUCCGCUGAUCCAUUGAAGACCACCAGUGGCGAAGGCGGCUUGCCAGAACGCGCUCGACGGUGAGGGAUGAAAGCUGGGGGGA
rnacentral:rRNA from 1 species